GCUGCCAAUCACCAAGAUGUAGAAGAUGCUCUCUACAAAUGGUUUCAAGGGGCUAGAAGUGAGAACAUUCCCUUAAAUGGUCCCAUGUUGCAGACUAAGGCAAAUGAAUUGGCAUCUAAGUUAGGUCAUUUAGAUUUUAAUUGCAGUAGUGCUUGGAUUGACAGAUUCAAACAGAGGCGUGGCAUCGUAUGUAAAUCAAGUCACGGGGAAAGUGCAUCUGUUGACCCCGACCUCGUCAAUGAUUGGCUGUAAACUCUCCUGCCUGGCUAUCUUGAAGAGUACAAGCCUGAUAACAUUUUCAAUGCUGACGAAACUGGCCUCUUCUACAAAAUGAAACCAAACAGAACUCUUCACUUUAAAUCUGAAAAAUGCAGUGGGGGGAAAAAUUCUAAAGAGAGAAUAACAUUUGUAUGAGAUAUUGCUUACUUAAAG